GACGAACGCUGGCGGCGUGCUUAACACAUGCAAGUCGAACGGAAAGGCCCUGCUUUUGUGGGGUGCUCGAGUGGCGAACGGGUGAGUAACACGUGAGUAACCUGCCCUUGACUUUGGGAUAACUUCAGGAAACUGGGGCUCAUACCGGAUAGGAGCUCCUGCUGCAUGGUGGGGGUUGGAAAGUUUCGGCGGUUGGGGAUGGACUCGCGGCUUAUCAGCUUGUUGGUGGGGUAGUGGCUUACCAAGGCUUUGACGGGUAGCCGGCCUGGGAGGGUGACCGGCCACAUUGGGACUGAGAUAGGGCCCAGACUCCAACGGGAGGCAGUAGUGGGGAAUAUUGCACAGUGGGCGGAAGCCUGAUGCAGCAACGCCGCGUGCGGGAUGACGGCCUUCGGGUUGUAAACCGCUUUCGCCUGUGACGAAGCGUGAGUGACGGUAAUGGGUAAAGAAGCACCGGCUAACUACGUG
rnacentral:rRNA from 1 species